rnacentral:pre_miRNA from 1 species
GAUUGGUCAUCCAGGCGGAGCAUCUCAGAAGGCUUGCCCUGCCUGGGUCACCAAUUGUC